AAUUUGGGCAUAUGUUCCAGGCUCCCCCUCUUUUUUCUUACAGAAGGGGUAAGAAUAUUGGACAACUAAUUAAACCUCAGAAACGUAAGCUACAGAUGGGUGAUUUAACGCACAAUAAAGGCACUUUUCCCUGCAGGAAUUGCGGACACUGUAACGGAAUAAUCCCUGGCAACACAGUUACACACCCGCAGCAGGGUACGAAACAUGAAAUCAAUGGAUUUUUCACAUGCGAUAGUUCAGACGUGAUUUACUGCAUUAAAUGUCCAUGCGGCCUAGCCUAUAUAGGGCAGACUUCGAGACCCAUAAAAACAAGGCUAAAUGAACAUAAAUCGACUAUCCGCAAUUAUCAACCCCAAAAAAGUGAAAAUGUCGAGCUAACAGCUUCAAGUAAAUAUAAGAAAGAAACAUGGCUUGCCAAACAUUUUUUCACAAACUGCCACAGAGUAGCACAACUCCGUUGGCAGGUUUUAGAGAAAAUAAGAAUACAACAAGGACAGGAUAAAAAGAGAAUUUUAUUACAGAGAGAAUGCUAUUGGAUCUGGUUACUCCAAACUAAAUAUCCAAAAGGGCUUAAUGAAGAGUUCAGUAUGGCUUGCUAUUUAUGAAUUUAUCUUUUUCUGGGUGUUCUAACUCUCUUUGUUUAAUUUUUCCAGAUAAGAAAACUAUGUGCAAAUUUCCUGAUGCAGGGACAGGUACUGCAACACUGUUGAAAUAUUUUCUUGCUACAUUAGAAAAUUGGGCUUAUAAGGUUUCCCACUGGACUUUGAACUUUUAUUAUACGGGAAAUGAACCAAAGCCUUGGGUUAAUUUCUUUUUCAUUUUUUUCUUUUUCAUUAUUCGUUUCAGAGAACUAUAAGACUUUUUUUAUAUGCUUUUUCAUUGUAUUUGCAUCACAGUAACUAAAUGCUAUUAGCUAAUUGCUGUUUAAACAAUUGUUUAAUUUCACUAAUUGAUUGCACCUGUCAAUUAACUGAUUGAAUCACCUAUAAAUGUACCACCUUACACAGAUCCUGUAUGCUUGACAAAGGGGCUUGCCCCGAAACGUUGCACUUCCGGUAAUAAAUCUUUGCAAGGUGUUCACCUGCAUUCACA